rnacentral:rRNA from 1 species
CAGCACCGCGGGAACACAGAGGGUGCGAGCGUUAAUCGGAUUUACUGGGCGUAAAGCGUGCGUAGGCGGCUUUUUAAGUCGGAUGUGAAAUCCCUGAGCUUAACUUAGGAAUUGCAUUCGAUACUGGGAAGCUAGAGUAUGGGAGAGGAUGGUAGAAUUCCAGGUGUAGCGGUGAAAUGCGUAGAGAUCUGGAGGAAUACCGAUGGCGAAGGCAGCCAUCUGGCCUAAUACUGACGCUGAGGUACGAAAGCAUGGGGAGCAAACAGGAUUAGAUACCCCCGUAGUCCCUGUCUCUUAUACA